CCCUUAGAUGUCCGGGGCUGCACGCGCGCUACACUGAAGGAAUCAGCGUGCUAAAACCAUUGUCGAAAGGCAUUGGUAAACCCAUUAAAAUCCUACGUGAUUGGGAUCGGGAAUUGCAAUUAUUUCCCUUGAACGAGGAAUUCCCAGUAAGUGUGGGUCAUAAGCUCGCGUUGAUUACGUCCCUGCCCUUUGUACACACCGCCCGUCGCUGCCCGGGACUGAGCCGUUUCGAGAAAAGCGGGGACUGCUGCUGUCGGGGCUUUCGGGCCUAGGCUUCGGUGGAAACCGCUUUAAUCGCAGUGGCUUGAACCGGGCAAAAGUCGUAACA
rnacentral:rRNA from 1 species